UUUCCCAGGCGGUAGCGGGGGCAGUGGUGCUGUUGCCCUUUUAAACUGCCGCUUGACGGGAGCCGCGCCUCCUGUCGGUGGAGUCGGUUAUAAAGGGAGCAGCCCCGCAGGCCGCCACAUAGCUCCCGCCAAGUCCUCGGUGCCCCUUGCCAUUUUUCCAGCCGCGCUCCCACGAGGGUCACGGCGGCGGGGAGAGGUGGAGCCGCGAGAGCUCGGCCGGGGGCCCCGCCUGGUGGUCGCGGCCAUGACAGCGGCUCGGGACAGGCUCCUUUUCCGCACCCCUCCCGCCGGAGGUGAGGGGAAGAUGUCCAUGUCAGGGUUCAAGGCCAAACUGAAGUUGCUGGCCUCUAUCUUCCAGGAGAACCAGGAGCCACAGCCGCGGCUCACGCUCCACCGCAACAUUAAGAUUACAAGUGGACACCUGAGUCAGCAGGACCUGGAAUCCCAGAUGAGAGAGCUUAUCUACACGACUCAGAUCUUGUUGUCACCCCCAUUAUUGACAAUCCAAAGGUGCAGAAAGCACUCUGACAAAUAAUGAAACAACCACCAUCGGUUAAAUUUGAUGCAAAAAUAUUGCAUCUACCAGCAUUUUCAGGUAGGAUCAUAAAGGAGUUAUCGAACAUGUAGACUGUCUGUAUACAGAUAUGAAUAUGAAAUUUAUUCACAAAUGGAAUAUUUGUAUGUGAAUAACUAAAUUUAUUUUGUCUUGACAAUUGGUUAUAUUCUUGGGUCAGUGUUAUGUGAAUUGUAAAUAAUCUGUAAUUCAUUUGUGCCAGCUGUUGACAUUUCUCAGCUGAGUCUGGGCUGCCCUGUCCUCUUGUGUGUGAGGAGGUUCCUGUAGAUCUGGGCAAGUUUUCCUGUAGAGUGGGUGGGGGGCCUCCUCCCUUCUGUUCAUAGAGCUGGUUGAAUUUCCACCAUUUAUGGCAGGUGUAGGUGCACAGGGUUGGGGACAACAAGGAAGGAUUGGGAUUCUAUUAGCGGGACCAGGACAUUUGAGAAUGGGACUAGGUGGUUCGUGACUGUGGAGAUGGUGUGGGAGUGGAGAUACUUAAGGGAUAAUUAUUACAUUCCUGUUGAGCUAAUGAAAAUCUUAUUUAGGGUGAAAGUCAGAAAUUUUUACAUACCUUAAACUUUUUUUUUUAACAAAUUAUAUUUUAAGCUGUUAAACUCAAUUUGGGGAAAAUUAUUCAUUGUGGCUAGAUUAGAAUCUAUGAUUUGAAGUAAAUUUAAAAUAUAUUUAGGUUUAAAUAAACCAGCUAAGGGUUUAUAUCAGUCAACUUAAUUACUGAUAAAAACAACCAAAAAAACCUGUGGAGAAGGACGUUUUUGAAAGACCAAAGUGAAGCAAAAUAUUAACAGUGCUUUCAGUGCCAAGUAGGUCUAUUUAUGCAAACCUAGAGAAUUAUUAUCGGGAAAUACUAUUUCCUUUUUCUUCUUUGAGUUACUUAGGAAAUUAUAUUUACAAUUUCUUUGUCUAAAGAUUGAGAUCAGCAAAAACAUGUUAGCAAAAAAUUUUAGGGAGUAUCACAUUUCCUAGAUUCUGCCCUUUUUUUAUAGGGAUUUGGAGGUAGGAAUUUCAGGUGAUUUUAGCUAUCAUGUUAUCCUCGUUAUU